AACGAACGCUGGCGGCAUGCCUAACACAUGCAAGUCGAACGAGACCUUCGGGUCUAGUGGCGCACGGGUGCGUAACGCGUGGGAACCUGCCCUUAGGUUCGUAAUAACUCCCCGAAAGGGGUGCUAAUACCGGAUAAUGUCUUCGGACCAAAGAUUUAUCGCCUUUGGAUGGGCCCGCGUUGGAUUAGCUAGUUGGUAGGGUAAAAGCCUACCAAGGCGACGAUCCAUAGCUGGUCUGAGAGGAUGAUCAGCCACACUGGGACUGAGACACGGCCUAGACUCCUACGGGAGGCAGCAGUGGGGAAUAUUGGACAAUGGGCGAAAGCCUGAUCCAGCAAUGCCGCGUGAGUGAUGAAGGCCUUAGGGUUGUAAAGCUCUUUUACCCGGGAUGAUAAUGACAGUACCGGGAGAAUAAGCUCCGGCUAACUCCGUG
rnacentral:rRNA from 1 species